UCCAUCGCGAAGUGGAAUCUGAAGGAAGUUGUAGGCAAACUUCUGGUCCGACAACACAAAUCGCAUAUAAGGCUAGGCAUCGAGAGAUAAGUUAGCUAAAAGAACUAUGAAAUAAAGACACAAUGCGCACGAUUGUAAGAAGAAAGCAGAUAUU
rnacentral:ncRNA from 1 species